UACGAAGGGUGCUAGCGUUGUUCGGAAUCACUGGGCGUAAAGAGCGCGUAGGCGGCGAUACAAGUCAGAGGUGAAAGCCCAGGGCUCAACCCUGGAAUUGCCUUUGAAACUGUAUUGCUUGAGUGUUGGAGGGGAUAGCGGAAUUGCUAAUGUAGAGGUGAAAUUCGUAGAUAUUAGCAGGAACACCGGUGGCGAAGGCGGCUGUCUGGACAACAACUGACGCUGAGGCGCGAAAGCGUGGGGAUCAAACAGG
rnacentral:rRNA from 1 species